rnacentral:snoRNA from 1 species
GGCUGUUGAUGCUUACACAUAACUGCAACAAUCAUAAGCGGGCCGUUACGCACGGACACCCCUGCUGACACUCUACCACCAAGUCUGAAGCC